GUUAGAGCACAAGUACCACUCGGAGAUGUGAUAGAAUGGAUAGUAUCUUUUUACCCAUAAUCAGAUGUUUUCGGUUCAUCCAAGACAUAAAGACUAUAACACUACCAAGUAACACUGUCCAUCAAGACUAGAACAUAUGAGAAAAAAUCACCUACUGUUUUUGUCUCUGCUAUAACUAUAGCUGCAUCAAGGUUUGGACUUGUUCUCUUCCUGUGCAUAGAAGGAUUCAUAAGUUGCCACUCUGGUUUUUGAUUCAGGUAGCUCCAUUUCUUCACUGAAUUCCAUUGUCAUUGUCAAGAAGUCCCCCUUGUGCAACACUUUCCAUUCCUCAAAGUCCCAUUCCCCAUGUAAAUCUGGAUCCCUCUUGUUAACCCAAACAUAUGUUUCAACCUGCAAUGUCUUGGAACUGUCCAUCAGGGAAACAUCAACAGUCGUCCUUUCAUACUCAACGUCCUCAAAUGCAUCCAGGAUAUUCAAUUCAGGGACAUUGAUAUCCAAAAGAACCUUCCCAUUAACUCUUUUGUUCUCAACUGGUAGAAUGGCAGGAUACACACGCCCUUUGAUGCUGAACCUAUGAUAGUUGUGAAGGAUCGCAGGAUUAGAAGGAGGGACGCGUUUGAGAAGAGCACGAACAAUGUCGUCAGCUAAUAAGCUGCCAUAGACGAACACAUUGAAG
rnacentral:misc_RNA from 1 species